rnacentral:antisense_RNA from 1 species
CUUCACCGAGCCGAGCCACAGCGGCCGGUCGGUGGUCCGGUUCUGGCCGUACGUCGCCAGCAGCGCCUGCGCCUC